AUGGAGGUGAUGAUGCUUUGAACUACCUAUUUUAUGAGGGAAUAAAUAACAUUCCCUUGUGAUUACAAAACUACCAAUGGAUCCUUCUGAGCCUCACAUUACACACUUUUUUGCUGAAUUAUUUAAAUGUUAUCUAUUUUGGUUAGAUGUGUGUUAUUUGUGGUUAUUAUAAGAAUAGAAUUGAAAUGAAGAAGCCAUGGAGGUGAUGAUAUCCUUUUCCGAAUUAUAUGAAUGUGGACUUAUUAUAGACUACAAUUAUCUGAUCUA